AGAAAACAACAACAACAAAGCGGAGGCGCGCAGCGAUGAAACCGAGCUGUAAUAAUACAGGACAGGCUGAGGCGCAGUUCACUCUUCCCGCCCGUAAACAGGAAAUACAAGGCUGCAACACGAGCGAGAGUCUUUCCACUUCCGGGAGACUUUAAUAACGCUCUUUUAGCAAAUAUCAAUAUCAGAGUAUAAUCUGUAGUUUACUUAAAUAGGUAUAAUAUAAUCAUAUUUUAUAUAAAUAUUUAAAAAGUUGUAAAAAAAAAUAAAUAAUACUAAAUGUUUACAGUCACAUCAAACUGGUGGUUCAGAGAACAUCUGACCUGAGCAUUAGAAACACACUGUAUAUCUGUCCCUUCCCCUCUGAGACAGACAAAAGCCUGGUUUGUGAUGUAAUCUGAUGAAAUAUAAUGAGCACACCAUCUGCCCCCCGCGCGUCAGCGCUGCAUGGACACUCUUUGGUCAGUGGGACUCGAAAGGAACGUUGGCCCAGGAGCUGGACACACACACACACACACACACACACAUAAUAGCUAUGUAUAAGUUAUGUAUUAAACACCUAAAUCUAUUUUAUAAAUUAUAAAAUAAUGUUUGGAUAUUGUACAGAAAUUCAUUCAGUGUUUUGAUAUGAUCAUCUCAUCGGUCUGUCCCAGAAUACUCCCUGUUCAGUGAGAUGCUGCUGCAGCGGCCAUGGCCAGGUGGUAGGAGACGUGAAGCGACUAGGACAUGAUUCCACUUCAACACAUCUGUAGAGGCUCCAAUGAUCCAAAUAUCUUUGGAAUUCUUCCACUGGCUCUGCUCCUUCUGGGAAAACCUCGAGUUUGAAUUCGCUUUAAGGUCAGAGAUGGCGCUCAAGAGCAUGACUCGCUCUCUGCUGAAGCUGCUGUCUUACUGCAGUAUCAUCACGCUGGAGCAGGAUGUGUAUCAGUACCUGAAAGGAAACGCUGUCCUCUGAGCCU
ensembl:lncRNA